CCUACGGGAGGCUGCAGUGAGGAAUAUUGGUCAAUGGACGAGAGUCUGAACCAGCCAAGUAGCGUGAAGGAUGACUGCCCUAUGGGUUGUAAACUUCUUUUAUAUGGGAAUAAAAUGUUCCACGUGUGGGAUUUUGUAUGUACCAUAUGAAUAAGGAUCGGCUAACUCCGUGCCAGCAGCCGCGGUAAUAAGGAGGAUCCGAGCGUUAGCCGGAUUUAUUGGGUUUAAAGGGAGCGUAGGUGGAUUGUUAAGUCAGUUGUGAAAGUUUGCGGCUCAACCGUAAAAUUGCAGUUGAAACUGGCAGUCUUGAGUACAGUAGAGGUGGGCGGAAUUCGGGGUGUAGCGGUGAAAUGCUUAGAUAUCACGAAGAACUCCGAUUGCGAAGGCAGUUCACUGGACUGCAACUGACACUGAGGCUCGAAAGUGUGGGUAUCAAACAGGAUUAGAUACCCUAGUAGUC
rnacentral:rRNA from 1 species